rnacentral:rRNA from 1 species
UACGUGGGGCGCAAGCGUAUCCGGAAUUAUUGGGCGUAAAGAGCUCGUAGGCGGUGUGUCGCGUCGGCCGUGAAAACCUGCAGCUUAACUGUGGGCUUGCGGUCGAUACGGGCAUCACUGGAGUUCGGCAGGGGAGACUGGAAUUCCUGGUGUAGCGGUGAAAUGCGCAGAUAUCAGGAGGAACACCGGGUGGCGAAGGCGGGUCUCUGGGCCGAUACUGACGCUGAGGAGCGAAAGCGUGGGGAGCGAACAGG